CUCCUGGUAGAAAAGGCAGGCAAGGAUCUCAAGGAAAUCCUGGACCUAAAGGUGUUCAAGGUAUGACUGGUGAUACUGGUGCUAGAGGAAGAACUGGUCUUGGUGGUGAAAAAGGUCCCCCCGGAGCUAAAGGUACUGCUGGUCUAUCAGGAGAUCCAGGAGACGCUGGAGAUGCUGGACUUCUUGGUAGAGAAGGAACUCCAGGAUCACCUG